UCGGAUUGCAGGCUGCAACCCGCCUGCAUGAAGCCGGAAUCGCUAGUAAUCGCGGAUCAGAAUGCCGCGGUGAAUACGUUCCCGGGUCUUGUACACACCGCCCGUCACACCAUGGGAGCCGGGAAUGCCCGAAGUCAGUGGCCCAACCGAAAGGGGGAGCUGCCGAAGGCAGGCCUGGUGACUGGGGUGAAGUCGUAACAAGGUAAC
rnacentral:rRNA from 1 species